rnacentral:rRNA from 1 species
UGGGGAAUAUUGCACAAUGGGCGCAAGCCUGAUGCAGCCAUGCCGCGUGUAUGAAGAAGGCCUUCGGGUUGUAAAGUACUUUCAGCGGGGAGGAAGGUGUUGUGGUUAAUAACCACAGCAAUUGACGUUACCCGCAGAAGAAGCACCGGCUAACUCCGUGCCAGCAGCCGCGGUAAUAAGGAGGGUGCAAGCGUUAAUCGGAAUUACUGGGCGUAAAGCGCACGCAGGCGGUCUGUCAAGUCGGAUGUGAAAUCCCCGGGCUCAACCUGGGAACUGCAUCCGAAACUGGCAGGCUUGAGUCUUGUAGAGGGGGGUAGAAUUCCAGGUGUAGCGGUGAAAUGCGUAGAGAUCUGGAGGAAUACCGGUGGCGAAGGCGGCCCCCUGGACAAAGACUGACGCUCAGGUGCGAAAGCGUGGGGAGCAAACA